AUGGGUGACUAGUGGCAGAGUGAGGGAGGGAAGGGGUGACUAGUGACAGAGUAAGGGGAUGACUGGUGACAGAGUGAGGGGGGGGGUGACUGUCACUAGUCACCCCACCCCUCUCUCUGUCACUAGUUACUCCCUCCCUAACUCUGUCACUGUGUCACCCGCUCCCUCACUCUGUCACUAAUCACCCCCUCUCUCCCUAGUCACCCCCUUCCUUACUCUGUCACUAGUCACCCCAU